rnacentral:lncRNA from 1 species
GAAGUACCUAUAUCUGCACAUGAAAAACAUGCGUAGAAAGGGCAUGAGUACACCACAGCGGUACUUGUCACACCUUCUUUUUACUACCCUCGGAAGCUUAGUAUAAGGGAGUUUUUUCCAAUUUAAGUGACAAUCAAAACGGGAUUAUUUAUUAAAUUCAGAGUCGCCACUUGGGAUUAUUUAUGGUGUCCCAAGUCACUAGUUAAAAUCCCAAAUCAAGGAAGUUGACUCUAUCCGGUUUGUGAAGGUGUUAGGCAUUCUCGGGUUCCGUGGUUUUAGCACUGUCGCUUUAAUCAUACUUGGCUUAAUCAAAUUGACUAGUUACUCAUUUUAGAACCUAUGUGCGUUUGCCUAUUUUAAUUAAGGAAUUAUCUUAAAAUAGGUCACGCGCACGUGUACCCAUUUGUUUUGCGCGUAAAAAAUCAUGUCACGCAAACGUGUCCACAAUUAAUAACGCUUUGUUAUUAUUAAGAAAGUUUGGUCGAAGUUAUGCAAAUGCAUACCUCGAUUUACUUUGGAACCUAUAAUUAUGCCACUCAGAUGUCAAAAAUAUAUACUACUACGAAUCUAUAUAGUCAAAAAGACAAAUAAAAGUAAAAUGAAGUACAUCACAUUUCAACUAAUCAAACCAAUUAUUAUCAGUUGUAAAUGUCGAGGUCAUGAGCUACUGAUAUCUUACUAUUUCAUUGCCAUGCUACUUUAAUUUUGCAGUGUUAGCUUGUCACCUUUCUUCUCCAAAUAGUAAAUUCUUAAACCACAAGUCAGAGAAAAAUGGAUCUCCCACAACACAUUCAAACCAGAUUUCACUCCUAAGCCACUUCAACAUUUCCAGCAGACAAUAAAAUAAUAAUCAUUUAUAGAACCCAACCAAAAAUAUGACUUGUAACUAUAAUAAGAAUAGAGAUGGACCUUAGGAAGAAUUUUACUUUUGAGCUUUACAGUAGGUGAAUCCAAAAGCAAAUCAGAAACCACGUACGGGACCUUGAGGAAACGGAAUUUCAUCGGACACCAAAGCUCGGACCUCAAUGGAAAAUGGUCACCUAACGUCACUGGUUGUUGAAACAACUUAGUAACUCCAAGUAAAUACCAGAGAAGAGAUAUCGGCCAAUUUUGUGUGCGGCCGAUUUUUGAAGGUUAGAGAUCAUAGGCAUGUUCUUUGUGUGCUAGGUUUGUAGGUGUUCAAAAAUUAGGGAAGGCGGCUGGGAGAUGCUCUUCGAGAUUUAGGUAAUGGAGAUCGGCUGAUCGUUUGGAGAGGAGGGGUCUAGGUUUUUCGGUGUUUGUUCGCUGCUCAAAGUGUGGAGAAGAUCGAGCUCAACAACCGAGGGGUCUAUUGUGUAUUACGGCUGUUGCUGCUCUGCAUUCAAAGAUAUAAGAUCCUCUAUUCAUGUGGGUUUUGCUGGAGAUGAAGAGAAGGCGGGGGGU